AAUUGGAGGGCAAGUCUGGUGCCAGCAGCCGCGGUAAUUCCAGCCCCAAUAGCGUAUAUUAAAGUUGUUGCAGUUAAAAAGCUCGUAGUUGAAUUUCGGGAUCAAUAUUUCGGUCAUGCCGUUGGUAUGCACUGUUAUCAUUGAUUUCUCACCUUCUAAAGAACCGUAAUGCCAUUAAUUUGGUGUUACGGGGAAUUAGGACUGUUACCUUGAAAAAAUUAGAGUGUUUAAAGCAGGCUCACGCUUGAAUACAUUAGCAUGGAAUAAUGAAAUAGGACAUCCGAUUCUAUUUUGUUGGUUUCUAGGAUCGAUGUAAUGAUUAAUAGGGAUAGUUGGGGGCAUUAGUAUUCAAUUGUCAGAGGUGAAAUUCUUGGAUUUAUUGAAGACUAACUACUGCGAAAGCAUUUGCCAAGGAUGUUUUCAUUAAUCAAGAACGAAAGUUAGGGGAUCGAAGACGAUCAGAUACCGUCGUAGUCUUAACCAUAAACUAUGCCGACUAGGGAUCGGAUGAUGUUAAUUUUUUAAUGACUCAUUCGGCGCCUUACGGGAAACCAAAGUGU
rnacentral:rRNA from 1 species